ensembl:lncRNA
AUCUGCUCUCUGAGGUCCACUUGGGACCCAUGCUCUGCAAUUUCCAGAAACGGCCUCUUCUUGAGACUGUCAGGAGACAACUUGGCAUGAUAGAAGAUGGGCAUUUAAGAACUCAACCUGAAUUCAUACCACUGACUUAAAACUUGCUACCUGGGUGACCUUGGGAAAAUUUCUUGUCAACUCUGGCUAGAACUUGCAUGGCAGGAGACUUGCUCCGCGAGGGCUCUGUCUGCUCUUCUUGCUGCUGGCACAAAGUAUUUGGUGAAGGAAUGAAUGAAUGACCAAGUGAAUGGAGCAGAAGGAAGAGGCAAUGUCCCUUCUCAGUCAGUCUGGGGACAGAAAGUGUGGAAUCGCGGUUGGAAGUGGGAAGCACAGCAAGGAUCCAUGUCUCCAGCUUCGCCCCGCCCAGGACAUCCACAUGGCACUGUUUUCUCGGUGGAAAAACCCUGGACCAGAGUCAAGACUGAGAAAUUCACCUCCUCUUCAAGCACAGUGCACAGAAUAUCCUGGAAAGCAUGGACUUUGGAUCAGACAAUCAUGAGUUCACAUUCUGGCUCUACGGUCUUCCAGCUAUGCCUCAGUUUCAUCAUCUAUCAAAUGGGGGCAAUUAGACCCGCUCCAUUGAGCCUUUCCCGCUUCAGCGAGGAGGGUGUGCACACAGUGAGCUCAGCUCAGAUGGCUCAAGGGCCUUUACAUCCUCCGUCUCUCAGUCUCCAGUUAGCAUGAAAGCACUGAGCAAUGGGAGAUUUGUCAUUUGUUUAUCCUUUCUCCCUGUAUAGAACUUCCUUUAAAUCUCUCAGAUGAAGCACAAGUCAAGAGCAUAGGAGCAAGUCAUUAAAGAGCAUUACAAGUUGAAUCAUGUCCUGCCCACAGAAGACACCUUGAGGUCCUACCCCUUGGUGACUUCACUGUGACCUUUUGUAGAAGUAGGGCAUGUGCAGAUGUAAUUGAGUUAGCUUGAAGGUGGCAGAGGAGAUGGGGCUCUUGUUGCAGUCCUGAAGAACCUGCCUGUUCUCAGAGUGGAGAGGAAAGCAGCCGGAAGCCCGGGCUCAGGCCAGAAGAGGCAGGUGCAGCAGGACACGGUCACCCAAAACAGGCUGGGCUCUGAGACAUCAGGAAUGGGGCCUGGGCCAGAUGUGCAUAAAGGGAGCUGUGCUUUGAGCUUGAUUUUUGUGGGAUGGGGUUGUACCAUCUCACUCCCCUGCCUACAAACCUAUGGGCUGAGAAUCCUCACACCCACUUCACAGAUAAGGAAACUGAGGCCCAGAAAGGCCCAUCUCUCUGUCAAAGGCACACUGCUGGGGAAGAGCAUACUGGGCUGGGAGUCCCUCUCCCUGAUCCGCUCCUAGAAGACACUGGCUUCCUGGAUGUUCCCACAAACCCCAGUUCCAGGUGUGUUAAUAAAGGUGACAAUGUGCUACAGUCUCGGUCACAACUGAACAAAGACAAGAUGGAGCUGGAGUUUCUGGGAUAAGUACUGGGGGGUGAGACCAGAGUGAGCUGUCACAGCGUCCUUUGUGACAGGGGCUACCCUCGGAGGUGGUAACCUCAGGAAGACCAGCUGCUUGACCUCUUCCUGCC